rnacentral:rRNA from 1 species
CCUACGGGUGGCUGCAGUGGGGAAUAUUGGGCAAUGGGCGCAAGCCUGACCCAGCAACGCCGCGUGAAGGAAGAAGGCUUUCGGGUUGUAAACUUCUUUUUUUAGGGACGAAGAAAGGGACGGUCCCUGAGGAAUAAGCCACGGCUAACUACGUGCCAGCAGCCGCGGUAAUACGGCGGCGGCAAUCGUUAUCCGGAUUUAAGGGGUGUAAAGGGCGUGUAGGCGGGACUGGAAGUCAGAUGGGAAAGCCAGGGGCUCAACCUAUGGACUGCAUUUGAAACUGUAGUUCUUGAGUACUGUAGAGGUAGACGGAAUGCCUGGUGUAGCGGUGAAAUGCGUAGAUAUUAGGAAGAACACCGAUUGCGAAGGCAGUCUGCUGGACAGCAACUGACGCUGAGGCGCGAAAGCGUGGGGAGCAAACAGGAUUAGAUACCCCAGUAGUC